UUAAGCGACUAAGCGUACACGGUGGAUGCCCUGGCAGUCAGAGGCGAUGAAGGACGUGCUAAUCUGCGAAAAGCGUCGGUAAGGUGAUAUGAACCGUUAUAACCGGCGAUGUCCGAAUGGGGAAACCCAGUGCAAUUCGUUGCACUAUCGUUAACUGAAUACAUAGGUUAACGAGGCGAACCGGGGGAACUGAAACAUCUAAGUACCCCGAGGAAAAGAAAUCAACCGAGAUUCCCCCAGUAGCGGCGAGCGAACGGGGAGCAGCCCAGAGUCUGAAUCAGCUUGUGUGUUAGUGGAACGGUCUGGAAAGUCCGACGGUACAGGGUGAUAGUCCCGUACACCAAAAUGCACAGGCUGUGAACUCGAAGAGUAGGGCGGGACACGUGGUAUCCUGUCUGAAUAUGGGGGGACCAUCCUCCAAGGCUAAAUACUCCUGACUGACCGAUAGUGAACCAGUACCGUGAGGGAAAGGCGAAAAGAACCCCGGCGAGGGGAGUGAAAAAGAACCUGAAACCGUGUACGUACAAGCAGUGGGAGCACCUUCGGGUGUGACUGCGUACCUUUUGUAUAAUGGGUCAGCGACUUAUAUUCUGUAGCAAGGUUAACCGUAUAGGGGAGCCGCAGGGAAACCGAGUCUUAACUGGGCGUUAAGUUGCAGGGUAUAGACCCGAAACCCGGUGAUCUAGCCAUGGGCAGGUUGAAGGUUGGGUAACACUAACUGGAGGACCGAACCGACUAAUGUUGAAAAAUUAGCGGAUGACUUGUGGCUGGGGGUGAAAGGCCAAUCAAACCGGGAGAUAGCUGGUUCUCCCCGAAAGCUAUUUAGGUAGCGCCUCGUGAACUCAUCUUCGGGGGUAGAGCACUGUUUCGGCUAGGGGGUCAUCCCGACUUACCAACCCGAUGCAAACUACGAAUACCGAAGAAUGUUAUCACGGGAGACACACGGCGGGUGCUAACGUCCGUCGUGAAGAGGGAAACAACCCAGACCGCCAGCUAAGGUCCCAAAGUCAUGGUUAAGUGGGAAACGAUGUGGGAAGGCACAGACAGCCAGGAUGUUGGCUUAGAAGCAGCCAUCAUUUAAAGAAAGCGUAAUAGCUCACUGGUCGAGUCGGCCUGCGCGGAAGAUGUAACGGGGCUAAACCAUGCACCGAAGCUGCGGCAGCGACACUAUGUGUUGUUGGGUAGGGGAGCGUUCUGUAAGCCUGCGAAGGUGUGCUGUGAGGCAUGCUGGAGGUAUCAGAAGUGCGAAUGCUGACAUAAGUAACGAUAAAGCGGGUGAAAAGCCCGCUCGCCGGAAGACCAAGGGUUCCUGUCCAACGUUAAUCGGGGCAGGGUGAGUCGACCCCUAAGGCGAGGCCGAAAGGCGUAGUCGAUGGGAAACAGGUUAAUAUUCCUGUACUUGGUGUUACUGCGAAGGGGGGACGGAGAAGGCUAUGUUAGCCGGGCGACGGUUGUCCCGGUUUAAGCAUGUAGGCUGAUUGUCCAGGCAAAUCCGGAUAAUCAAGGCUGAGGUGUGAUGACGAGGCACUACGGUGCUGAAGUAACAAAUGCCCUGCUUCCAGGAAAAGCCUCUAAGCAUCAGGUAACAUCAAAUCGUACCCCAAACCGACACAGGUGGUCAGGUAGAGAAUACCAAGGCGCUUGAGAGAACUCGGGUGAAGGAACUAGGCAAAAUGGUGCCGUAACUUCGGGAGAAGGCACGCUGGUGUGUAGGUGAAGUCCCUGCGGAUGGAGCUGAGACCAGUCGAAGAUACCAGCUGGCUGCAACUGUUUAUUAAAAACACAGCACUGUGCAAACACGAAAGUGGACGUAUACGGUGUGACGCCUGCCCGGUGCCGGAAGGUUAAUUGAUGGGGUUAUCCGUAAGGAGAAGCUCUUGAUCGAAGCCCCGGUAAACGGCGGCCGUAACUAUAACGGUCCUAAGGUAGCGAAAUUCCUUGUCGGGUAAGUUCCGACCUGCACGAAUGGCGUAAUGAUGGCCAGGCUGUCUCCACCCGAGACUCAGUGAAAUUGAACUCGCUGUGAAGAUGCAGUGUACCCGCGGCAAGACGGAAAGACCCCGUGAACCUUUACUAUAGCUUGACACUGAACAUUGAGCCUUGAUGUGUAGGAUAGGUGGGAGGCUUUGAAGCGUGGACGCCAGUCUGCGUGGAGCCAACCUUGAAAUACCACCCUUUAAUGUUUGAUGUUCUAACGUUGGCCCCUGACCGGGGUUGCGGACAGUGUCUGGUGGGUAGUUUGACUGGGGCGGUCUCCUCCCAAAGCGUAACGGAGGAGCACGAAGGUUAGCUAAUCCUGGUCGGACAUCAGGAGGUUAGUGCAAUGGCAUAAGCUAGCUUGACUGCGAGCGUGACGGCGCGAGCAGGUGCGAAAGCAGGUCAUAGUGAUCCGGUGGUUCUGAAUGGAAGGGCCAUCGCUCAACGGAUAAAAGGUACUCCGGGGAUAACAGGCUGAUACCGCCCAAGAGUUCAUAUCGACGGCGGUGUUUGGCACCUCGAUGUCGGCUCAUCACAUCCUGGGGCUGAAGUAGGUCCCAAGGGUAUGGCUGUUCGCCAUUUAAAGUGGUACGCGAGCUGGGUUUAGAACGUCGUGAGACAGUUCGGUCCCUAUCUGCCGUGGGCGCUGGAGAAUUGAGGGGGGCUGCUCCUAGUACGAGAGGACCGGAGUGGACGCAUCACUGGUGUUCGGGUUGUCAUGCCAAUGGCACUGCCCGGUAGCUAAAUGCGGAAGAGAUAAGUGCUGAAAGCAUCUAAGCACGAAACUUGCCCCGAGAUGAGUUCUCCCU
rnacentral:rRNA from 1 species